UAUAGAUAAGGACCACACAGCUCAAAGAACCUCCGGUUACUACAAGGUAACUUUCUCUUCGAGUGCUGGUCCCCAUGUGUAUUCUAUCGUGGAUGACUGACAUACAGGAGAAUGCAUCGGUGGAAUGCUGUACAAAGCCUAAUCUCUUGCAAAUGUGUGACUGGAACUCCACAUAGCUUUUUUGCAAAUGUCUUGAAGCAAUGACACUGGUGUUGCUUGUGCUCUGAGCCCUCACCCCAUGACGGGGAGGAAUGUUAGACAGCUUAUAGCAAACUAAGAUACAGUGCAAGAUCCAUUUAGAGAUUCUCUGAGAAGAUAUAUCUUGACUUCGAACUCUUUCCGCUAGAGCUAUAAACAAUCUGGGAGAUUUUCUGAUUGUUUUUGUCCUUUGCAGGCAAAAUGCCAAGGCUCGUCGCAUGUUGAGGGAAUGAUAUCCCCUUUCUUUUUCAGAUGCAUGUGGUUUUGGAAGAAAACACAGAAUGAAGCCGAAGCUGCAGACACUGACGGUUCCAACCCAGACCAUGUGGUGGUGAGAAGGAACUGCAGAGACUGUUGGUCCGCCCUGUCUUUUAUCUCCUUGGUUGAAGGCACGAGUUCAUUAUUUAUCUAUGAGUAACACAGUGAAAGUCAAGCAGAAUGCAAGAACAGAAAGGCCAAUGAAGUCUUGUUUUCAUCUGCUAAUUUCACCAUUUCACUACAGUCAU